GACGAACGUUGGCGGCGUGCUUAACACAUGCAAGUCGAACGGAAAGGCCCUGCUUUUGUGGGGUGCUCGAGUGGCGAACGGGUGAGUAACACGUGAGUAACCUGCCCUUGACUUUGGGAUAACUUCAGGAAACUGGGGCUAAUACCGGAUAGGAGCUCCUGCUGCAUGGUGGGGGUUGGAAAGUUUCGGCGGUUGAGGAUGGACUCGCGGCUUAUCAGCUUGUUGGUGGGGUAGUGGCUUACCAAGGCUUUGACGGGUAGCCGGCCUGAGAGGGUGACCGGCCACAUUGGGACUGAGAUACGGCCCGGACUCCUACGGGAGGCAGCAGUGGGGAAUAUUGCACAAUGGGCGGAAGCCUGAUGCAGCAACGCCGCGUGCGGGAUGACGGCCUUCGGGUUGUAAACCGCUUUCGCCUGUGACGAAGCGUGAGUGACGGUAAUGGGUAAAGAAGCACCGGCUAACUACGUGCCAGCAGCCGCGGUGAUACGUAGGGUGCGAGCGUUGUCCGGAUUUAUUGGGCGUAAAGGGCUCGUAGGUGGUUGAUCGCGUCGGAAGUGUAAUCUUGGGGCUUAACCCUGAGCGUGCUUUCGAUACGGGUUGACUUGAGGAAGGUAGGGGAGAAUGGAAUUCCUGGUGGAGCGGUGGAAUGCGCAGAUAUCAGGAGGAACACCAGUGGCGAAGGCGGUUCUCUGGGCCUUUCCUGACGCUGAGGAGCGAAAGCGUGGGGAGCGAACAGGCUUAGAUACCCUGGUAGUCCACGCUGUAAACGGUGGGUACUAGGUGUGGGGUCCAUUCCACGGGUUCCGUGCCGUAGCUAACGCUUUAAGUACCCCGCCUGGGGAGUACGGCCGCAAGGCUAAAACUCAAAGGAAUUGACGGGGCCCCGCACAAGCGGCGGAGCAUGCGGAUUAAUUCGAUGCAACGCGUAGAACCUUACCUGGGUUUGACAUGGAUCGGGAGUGCUCAGAGAUGGGUGUGCCUCUUUUGGGGUCGGUUCACAGGUGGUGCAUGGCUGUCGUCAGCUCGUGUCGUGAGAUGUUGGGUUAAGUCCCGCAACGAGCGCAACCCUUGUUCACUGUUGCCAGCACGUUAUGGUGGGGACUCAGUGGAGACCGCCGGGGUCAACUCGGAGGAAGGUGGGGAUGACGUCAAGUCAUCAUGCCCCUUAUGUCCAGGGCUUCACGCAUGCUACAAUGGCUGGUACAGAGAGUGGCGAGCCUGUGAGGGUGAGCGAAUCUCGGAAAGCCGGUCUCAGUUCGGAUUGGGGUCUGCAACUCGACCUCAUGAAGUCGGAGUCGCUAGUAAUCGCAAAUCAGCGACGCUGCGGUGAAUACGUUCCCGGG
rnacentral:rRNA from 1 species